rnacentral:rRNA from 1 species
CAAUAGCGUAUAUUAAAGUUGUUGCAGUUAAGAAGCUCGUAGUUGAAUUUCGGGUCCCCGCGCUCGGCGCUUCAUUGUGCCGUCGUGGUGUCCCUCCUCGCCGUAAGGCGUCCUUUACUGUGAAAAAAUUAGAGUGUUCAAAGCAGGCAAUCGCUUGAAUACAUUAGCAUGGAAUAAUAAGAUAGGAUCUUGUCUAUUUUGUUGGUUGCGGACAACGAUAAUGAUUAAUAGGGAUAGUUGGGGGUGUCCGUAUUGAGCUGUCAGAGGUGAAAUUCUUGGAUUUGCUCAAGACGAACUACUGCGAAAGCAUUCACCAAGGAUGUUUUCAUUAA